UACGUAGGCAGCGAGCGUUGUUCGGAGUUACUGGGCGUAAAGCGUGCGUAGGCGGUUGUCUAAGUUUGGUGUGAAAUCUCCUGCUUAACUGGGAGGGUGCGCCGAAAACUGGGUGACUGGAGUGUCGGAGAGGUAAGCGGAAUUCCUGGUGUAGCGGUGAAAUGCGUAGAGAUCAGGAGGAACACCUGUGGUGUAGACAGCUUACUGGACGAUAACUGACGCUGAGGUGCGAAAAGCGUGGGGAGCAAACAGG
rnacentral:rRNA from 1 species